AUCAUCAUAGAUGUCACACUGGUGAGAAAACUUACAAGUGUAAUGAGUGUGGGAAGACCUUCACUCAGAUGUCAUCCCUUGUAUGCCAUCGUAGACUUCAUACUGGAGAGAAACCUUACAAGUGUAAUGAGUGUGGCAAGACCUUCAGUGAGAAGUCAUCCCUUAGAUGCCAUCGUAGACUUCAUACUGGAGAGAAACCUUACAAGUGUAAUGAGUGUGGCAAGACUUUUGGUCGAAAUUCAGCCCUUGUAAUUCAUAAGG
rnacentral:lncRNA from 1 species